CUAGUAACCAGCAGGUAGCCUAGUGGUUAGAGUGUUGGGUCAGUAACCAGCAGGUAGCCUAGUGGUUAGAGUGUUGGACUAGUAACCAGCAGUUAGCCUAGUGGUUAGAGUGUUGGACUAGUAGCCAGCAGGUAGCCUAGUGGUUAGAGUGUUGGGUCAGUAACCAGCAGGUAGCCUAGUGGUUAGAGUGUUGGGUCAGUAACCAGCAGGUAGCCUAGUGGUUAGAGUGUUGGGUCAGUAACCAGCAGGUAGCCUAGUGGUUAGAGUGUUGGACCAGUAACCAGCAGGUAGACUAGUGGUUAGAGCGUUGGACUAGUAACCAGCAGGUAGCCUAGUGGUUAGAGCGUUGGACUAGUAACCAGCAGGUAGCCUAGUGGUUAGAGUGUUGGGUCAGUAACCAGCAGGUAGCCUAGUGGUUAGAGUGUUGGACUAGUAACCAGCAGUUAGCCUAGUGGUUAGAGUGUUGGACUAGUAGCCAGCAGGUAGCCUAGUGGUUAGAGUGUUGGGUCAGUAACCAGCAGGUAGCCUAGUGGUUAGAGUGUUGGGUCAGUAACCAGCAGGUAGCCUAGUGGUUAGAGUGUUGGGUCAGUAACCAGCAGGUAGCCUAGUGGUUAGAGUGUUGGACCAGUAACCAGCAGGUAGACUAGUGGUUAGAGCGUUGGACUAGUAACCAGCAGGUAGCCUAGUGGUUAGAGCGUUGGACUAGUAACCAGCAGGUAGCCUAGUGGUUAGAGCGUUGGACUAGUAACCAGCAGGUAGCCUAGUGGUUAGAGUGUUGGGUCAGUAACCAGCAGGUAGCCUAGUGGUUAGAGUGUUGGACUAGUAACCAGCAGGUAGCCUAGUGGUUAGAGCGUUGGACUAGUAACCAGCAGGUAGCCUAGUGGUUAGAGCGUUGGACUAGUAACCAGCAGGUAGCCUAGUGGUUAGAGUGUUGGGUCAGUAACCAGCAGGUAGCCUAGUGGUUAGUGUUGGGUCAGUAACCAGCAGGUAGCCUAGUGGUUAGUGUUGCACUAGUAACCAGCAGGUAGCCUAGUGGUUAGUGUUGGACUAGUAACCAGCAGGUAGCCUAGUGGUUAGUGUUGGACUAGUAACCAGCAGGUAGCCUAGUGGUUAGUGUUGGACUAGUAACCAGCAGGUAGCCUAGUGGUUAGUGUUGGACUAGUAACCAGCAGGUAGCCUAGUGGUUAGUGUUGGACUAGUAACCAGCAGGUAGCCUAGUGGUUAGUGUUGGACUAGUAACCAGCAGGUAGCCUAGUGGUUAGAGUGUUAGGAUGGCAGGUAGCCUAGUGGUUAGUGUUGGACUAGUAACCAGCAGGUAGCCUCGUGGUUAGAGUGUUAGGAUGGCAGGUAGCCUAGUGGUUAGAGCGUUGGGUCAGUAACCAGCAGGUAGCCUAGUGGUUAGUGUUGGACUAGUAACCAGCAGGUAGCCUAGUGGUUAGAGUGUUAGGAUGGCAGGUAGCCUAGUGGUUAGAGCGUUGGGUCAGUAACCAGCAGGUAGCCUAGUGGUUAGAGCGUUGGGUCAGUAACCAGCAGGUAGCCUAGUGGUUAGUGUUGGACUAGUAACCAGCAGGUAGCCUAGUGGUUAGAGUGUUAGGAUGGCAGGUAGCCUAGUGGUUAGAGUGUUAGGAUGGCAGGUAGCCUAGUGGUUAGAGUGUUAGGAUGGCAGGUAGCCUAGUGGUUAGAGUGUUAGGAUGGCAGGUAGCCUAGUGGUUAGAGUGUUAGGAUGGCAGGUAGCCUAGUGGUUAGUGUUGGACUAGUAACCAGCAGGUAGCCUAGUGGUUAGAGUGUUAGGAUGGCAGGUAGCCUAGUGGUUAGAGAGAGCAACUCAAUAUUAGGAAGGAGUUCUUAAUAUUUUGUCCACUGGUGAAUAUGAGCUAAGCUCUCCUCUCCUUGUGU